rnacentral:rRNA from 1 species
GGUUAAGCGAAUGAAGCGUACACGGUGGAUGCCUAGGCAGUCAGAGGCGAUGAAGGACGUGCUAAUCUGCGAAAAGCGUCGGUAAGCUGAUAUGAAGCGUACUAGCCGGCGAUGUCCGAAUGGGGAAACCCAGUGCAUUAAUGCACUAUCGUUUGAUGAAUUCAUAGUCAAACGAGGCGAACCGGGGGAACUGAAACAUCUCAGUACCCCGAGGAAAAGAAAUCAACCGAGAUUCCCCCAGUAGCGGCGAGCGAACGGGGAGCAGCCCAGAGUCAGCAUCAAUAUUUACCGCAGGAGAAGGGUCUGGAAAGGCCGGCAAUAAAGGGUGAUAGCCCCGUAUCUGAAACGGUAAGUGUUGUGAGCUCGAAGAG